CCGUAAAAUCAUGUGGUUGGUGCUCGCUGCAUGGUUCGCAUGCCGCAGUUCAACGGGAAGCAGGGAGGCGCCCCCACCGGGUACGUGCCGAGCCUGCGCUGCCCCCGCAACGGUCAGCGACCGAAUCACCCCGGGUGUCCGCACGGAUCCCGGCGGUGCUUCCCUCUCUCCAUCCACAUGCCACUGGGCGCGUUGAACAAGCGCCUGGGAAGGCGAUGGAAGGGUGUGUCGCCAGCCCGGAUACCGGCCAACACGGUGGCCGCCCA
rnacentral:ncRNA from 2 species